GCUGUCCUCUCUGUCAACACGACGCAGUUCCUGUCGCCACUUCGCGGCGAAGGAGCUGCCGGCGACCGACUUCGCCCGAAGCCUCGGCUGAAUCAAAAGUGAAAGCACCGCCGCCGCCGCUCCGGCACUCAGCGGUCUGGGUCUUUGUUCACUUGGACCGGCGCUCACGAACUUUGCGGAUGGACUAACCAUUCGCGCGUUAACCCCCGCGCGGGGGGCACCAUUUGAGGGUAGCAGUCUGCAAAGGAUCAAAAAAGUAGUCCUUGUGCCCUCCACCUCUAAGUCUGCAACAGAAGAAGGAAGAAGACAGCAUGAUGGAGGUCUGUCUGUAGAGGAACUGCGUCUGAAACACAGAAGGAGACAGACUGUGGGAAUUGUGAAUACAUACAUUCAGCAUCAAAAUAUGGACAUACUGUAGCGUAAAAAGGAGUCUGUAGUCAGUAAGUGUGACAUUCACAUCGGCUUUUUAAUGGUUUUAGCAGUUUGCCCAGUCCAGAGUUUACCUGCCUGAGGAGAUGAGCUCCUAAAUGUCAAUAAAAGUAUAUCAUCAUGAUAUAUUGUUUUAAUAUUUAAGAAGAGUUAAUACGAAAUUUCAUUGUAACACAGUGUAUGUUCACUUGACCGCUGCUGACCUGAUAUUUUUAUGGGAUUUGAUCGUAGUAUGAAAAAGCAUGACACUGUAAACUGAACUAAAGGGGUUAUACACGGGCAUUUGUCAUAUCAAAUGUUUAACAUACGGUAGCCCGGCUUCACCCACACCUCUGUUUGAUGACUUCAUGAUUGAUUUGCUGUUUGUUAGCUACGCGACAGAAGUAUUUUAAAUGUAAGAUACUGUAUGUUCACACAAGUGCAAACAUCAAAGAAAGAAAUCAAGCUAUGUAUAGCCACAAUUUUUAUUUUAUAAGAAUAAAAUCUUGCUUUAUGAUAGAAGUUCAAUAACAUCUGACUAGGUCACAAAGGCUCUAUAAUAAUAAAUUAUACAUAAUAAAUGAUAAUAAAUAA